rnacentral:lncRNA from 1 species
GAGUGCUCCCCAUGUUUCUGAUGAUUGAGCUCAUCACGGUCUUGAGAUUGUGUUUCAGAACGCCGUGGAGCUGGAACGUUUGCCUGGUGGUUAAACGGAGCGUGCCGAUGCCGAACUCGUCGGCUAAGUCGUCCAUGGUGAGGUAGAGCUGGUUGGGGACUUUGCCGCUCGGGUUCUUGGUGCGGAGCAUGAAGGAGUAUGAUCUUCCGCCGCGUUCCUCUCGGUUGUACUGUUGGUAGCUUCCGUGGAACUUGAUGAGCUGCACGGCGGAUUCGUUGACGUUGGGGGCUUCUGUUAGGAGCUCCUCGUUGAGAGGGUACCUGAUGAAGUUGCUCUUCUCCUUGAUGAUCUCGACCUUACUCCUCUUGGUGGUGGCUUUCCGUGCCGAUGCCGAACUCGUCGGCUAAGUCGUCCAUGGUGAGGUAGAGCUGGUUAGGGACUUUGCCGCUCGGGUUCUUGGUGCGGAGCAUGAAGGAGUAGGAUCUUCCGCCGCGUUCCUCACGGUUGUACUGUUGGUAGCUUCCGUGGAACUUGAUGAGCUGCACGGCGGAUUCGUUGACAUUGGGGGCUUCUGUUAGGAGCUCCUCGUUGAGAGGGUACCUGAUGAAGUUGCUCUUCUCCUUGAUGAUCUCG